GAUGGGUCUGCGUCUGAUUAGCUAGUUGGUGAGGUAAUGGCUCACCAAGGCGAUGAUCAGUAGCCGGUCUGAGAGGAUGAACGGCCACACUGGGACUGAGACACGGCCCAGACUCCUACGGGAGGCAGCAGUGGGGAAUCUUCCGCAAUGGACGAAAGUCUGACGGAGCAACGCCGCGUGAGUGAAGAAGGUUUUAGGAUCGUAAAGCUCUGUCUUCAAGGACGAAUGUGCAUAUUGUAAAUAAUGAUAUGUAAUGACGGUACUUGAGGAGGAAGCCACGGCUAACUACGUGCCAGCAGCCGCGGUAAUACGUAGGUGGCAAGCGUUGUCCGGAAUUAUUGGGCGUAAAGCGCGCGCAGGCGGGAAUGUAAGUCUGUCUUAAAAGUUCGGGGCUCAACCCCGUGAUGGGAUGGAAACUACAUUUCUUGAGUGCAGGAGAGGACAGUGGAAUUCCCAGUGUAGCGGUGAAAUGCGUAGAUAUUGGGAGG
rnacentral:rRNA from 1 species